rnacentral:misc_RNA from 1 species
GGCUCAAAACAGCUCAAAUGGACGGUUGGCGAUUCAGUGCUGUCAUGAAACGGGUCCGUCCUCGGAUCCCAUGACUCUCAGGCAGACCCAAAUGUCAUCUAUGACUGCCUUUGGAGUGAAUGAAACUGGCUCUUCUAGACCAUCUUACAAAUGGCAAAGAGUGUUGCUUAAAGUAAGUGGAGAAGCACUUGCCGGAGAUAAUAUGCAAAAUAUUGACCCAAAGAUCACAAUGGCUAUUGCAAGGGAGGUUGCAUCAGUGACACGCCUGGG